rnacentral:lncRNA from 1 species
CUAGUCCAAUCAGCUCGUAUUCAGAAUGAACUAUACCACAGUUUCUCCUUAGCAAAUUCUUUUUUUUUCCAGAUCUCAUAGAUGCUACUUUGUAAGCCAUACAUAUUUACAACAUUCAGUAAUGACAGAUCUGCCAUUCAGAAAAAAAAAAAAUCUUUAGCUGCCAUCACUCAGAGAAUGUUCAUACAAUUGUUCUAUAAUGGUUUUAUAUAAUAUUUUUAUACACAUUUAGACACAAAUUAUUAGAAAGCAGAUGUGGGGUAUUGGCUGUUUACUAUCUUUUAGAUAUCUUUUAUUAUAACAUUAGUUGUAAUAUGCAUCUGUAGUUUUGUGCAUGGAAUAAGGAGACAUUAUGAAUUCUUGAAAGCAGUGUGUUAUAAUUGAUACAGUAUAUGCAGGAAGCCAUAUACCAAUGCAUACUCUAAUAGCUUUACUUAUCUUUUUUGCUGUUCAAGAUAGCUAUUUGCAAUAACAGCAUCAUAUCACAGCUAACAUAUUCUUGCAUUUUUCAUAUUUGGUUAUUAUAUGCUUUUUAAUGCCUGCCAAGGUCAGUGAGAGCACAGUAUUUUGAAAGAAGGCAGAUGGAUGUUGUCUAAGUGCACUGGAUUGUCUCUUCUAGUAGAUGUCAUGAGUAAUUAUAAUGGUUUGCUAUAUUUUCAGUGUCACAGGUAUUCUUUAGCUCAGAUUGAAGAGGAAAAAUUGGUAACAGUUUUCCAAAACUUUUUCUUGUUUCCAGCAUAGCCUGCAUUUCUGAAUUGAUGCUGGAAUUUGAUCAGGGCUGGAAUCUUCAGCUGUGGCAGCUGGGAGGUGACCCUAGAGAGACACAGAAGACGUGUCAAUUUUCAGCCCAAAUUCCAGCUUAUAAGAACAGAGCAUUCGAGGAGUCCAUGAAGGUGCUUUGAAGCUGGCAGCAAUGGAAGCUUCCCUUUCAAUUGCUUCUAAAAUAUCUGCACUGAAUAUAUGCACUGAAUAUCUGCUUUGCCAGACCGCUGCUUUACUGAGCAGUGGUUACUGGGUUAUUUGCCCUGAUUCUAUGAUUCAAGUGUCACAAGGUCUGACUUCAGCUGCUUUGACAUAAUUUAUUUGACAGCUCUGUGUGCCAUAAAUAUAUAAUGUAACAAGGAAAGGUAUCUUCACUGUUGAAUGAAAACAUUAAUGCGUCAAUACUGUGUAUGAAUACUGUUUGACAUUUACUAGUUACAAAAAUAAAAUACACAGUAUGCCUUGAAAAUAUGGCACUCCUAUUUUUGGAAGAUACUUUCUUUGUCUACAGAAAGUAAUGUCUCAUAAAUAAAUGAACAAGUGCACUUCCAGUGUGGAUGCUAAAUGGUGCUUUCAUCAUUAAGAUGGAUUUUUAGUAAAGAUCA